CCCGAGUGCGGGUGGGAGCAAGCAAGCGAGUGUGUUCUCCUUCCUCCUCCCUCUCUCCCGUCGUCCGCACUGGGCUGGGGCGGCGGCGCCUGAGCGGUUCCCUCGCGAGCCGGUGUGGACCCAGGGGCCGGGAGAGGAGGAGGAGCGGCCGGGCCGGGCGGAGACGCUUGCGGACUCCGCGCAGGCACCUCAGCCAAUCAGAGGCCAGAGUUGACGGUUGCGUAGUUCUCCCCGCCCCCAAGGGCUGCCUCUUCGAGAAGCCACGCCCAAGUGCUACGCGACCGCCCCUCUCUCUCGGCGGCUUCCGCGCGGUCCUAAUAUCUGGUCUUUGCCAGCUUAGGAAAAGACGCCUAAUUUUUUUCAAGCAUCCAGCCUUCUUCCGAAGAUCCUAUGUGGUUUGAGUGAUACCUUUGCCAGCUGCAUAGAUAGAUCUUGAUCAGUAACCGAAUCAGAGUAGCCCACACUUCUUGCCAGUUGGUUUAGAAAUCCUGACCUAUUGCGAUAUGUCGAAAGGACACCCAAGCCAAUAAACUCUGUCAAAUUGGCACAUGAAGGGGCUCCUACUCUGCAAAUCCAGCAGAAUUUGAGUAUCACAAAGAAUAACGUACCAGUGAAUCAAAAAAGAAUCCAAGUCCGUAGAGAUUCUCCGAGGAAAAACGGUGGAUGAAGGUCCAGGGAAAGCUCUUCUCUACAGAAGCAUGCCAGCCAAAAAAUUUAGAAGGAAAGUGUGAGGAAACUCUCAUUUUGCAACCACCAUGUGUAAUAGUCGAUUCACCACUGGGUGCCAAGUUGCUGGCAAAAGGAAAAUUCAUGUGCUCUCAAAAUAAUGCCCCAGUUAAAAGGGGGAAAGGUACUUAUUUGUGGAUAAAUCUGAUGGAUGCCACCUUAACAUGUCACAAUGAGCAUUACCAGUAGUGGGACGAUCUAAUAUUCCUCCUCAUGUCAUGGACAUCAUUGGAAGAACAUACCAUUUGUGGUAUUCUUGCCAAAAUGUUUACACUGAAUCUAGUCAUGACAAAAUAAGGCAAAUCUGGAUUAUGGCAUACCGUAUAAGACAACUUAAAAUCUUCAAAAAUCUUAAAAAAAAAAAAAUCAAUGUCAUGAAAGCAAAUACAGAAAGAAAGCAAAUUGUUCUAAAGAAAACUAAGGAGACAAAUGCAGUGAAUAAUCUGUGAUUGGAUCCUGGGCUUUAAAAAAAAAAAAAAAAGACUCUAAAAAGACAUAUUGGGGAUAAUUCGAUUUAGCUGUGCUUGGGUAAGAUUGGCAAACUCAUGGCAUAUGUCAUUGUUGGCUGUUGAAAUUUGGAUGACCUACAGAACCAUUUCCAUUCUAUCAGAAGGCUUUGGCUGCCGUGCCAGAAGAGUUGGAAAUGAUCAAAGAAAUUCGACUAACUUGUCAUUUCCUGACUUCUAACCUCUGAGGAGUCUUGGGCUUCAACUGGUGACUCAAGCAGUCAGCCAUAUGGUGGAGACGAUGGCCUGGUGCUAAAUUAAGACUCAUAUACACACUAUGAGUUCUCAAAAUCCCUCUCCCUUUCUCCUCCCACACCUCGCCCUCUAACUGCCAGGUCUCACAAGCAUUAAAUAUCCAAUGGCAAGGAGAGAAGCCAUGCUGGGGAUUCCUCGUAGCUUCUGCUCCCAUUUGGGACAGCUCUGGCAAUGGCACCAGCUCACCUUACGACUCCCCUUUUUCUACACAUCCUGCCUAUAGACUUAAGCAGUGACCUCAAGAGCCGAUGUCACAUAGCAACCGAAUGACUCAAACGCACAGCUACUCUAAUAAUGCAGAGUUGCCGUGAUUAUCUCCAACUCCACCUCACCCUUAUUGGUCAGCGUGUUCCCUAUUCUAAUGAUUCUAAUGAUUGGGAAAAGAGCAAAGAAAUAACAGCCAGGAGAAAAGAAUCAUUUUUCCACAGCAAAGCAUAAGUCUUUCUAAGCAACAGCAACAGUAAUAAAGACCAUUUAUUGAGUAUUGA